GGAUUAGUGGCGAACGGGUGAGUAACACGUGAGCAACGUGCCCGAAACUCUGGAAUAACCACCGGAAACGGUGGCUAAUACUGGAUAUGUGCCAGGGAGGCAUCUCCUCUGGUUGGAAAGAUUUUUCGGUUUCGGAUCGGCUCACGGCCUAUCAGCUUGUUGGCGGGGUAAAGGCCCACCAAGGCGACGACGGGUAGCCGGCCUGAGAGGGUGACCGGCCACACUGGGACUGAGACACGGCCCAGACUCC
rnacentral:rRNA from 1 species